CCAAGGAUGUCAACUGUGGAGCACAUACAGGAUGCAGAGCACAGUGAUGACGUAUCACCAUGGCAACACGUAUCGCUCAACAUCACUUGAAUGAGAUUGUACCGUACCUGACAUCAUUAAUUGUAAAGAGCGCCACCUGUUGUUUGGUUAUCGAUCAACAUUAAUGCAGCAGAUAAUGCAGCGGUAGGCUAUAUAGGCCUGUACGUCAGAGUUACUUCAACAACGACGAUAGGUUCAACUACAACUAUGCGCAGGCCAAAGCCACA